GGACCAAGGAGUCUAGCAUGUGCGCGAGUUAUUGGGACUAUCGAAUCCUAAAGGCGAAAUGAAAGUAAAUGCCAAGCCUGGCUUUGCAGAGGGAAGAUGGGCAGCAAUUAAGUUGCCUCGCACUCCCGGGGCGUCUCGUUCUCAUUGCGAGUUGAGGCGCACCUAGAGCGUACAUGCUGGGACCC
rnacentral:rRNA from 1 species